rnacentral:miRNA from 1 species
CAAAGUUUAAGAUCCUUGAAGU